GAUGAACGCUGGCGGCGUGCCUAAUACAUGCAAGUCGAGCGAACGGACGAGAAGCUUGCUUCUCUGAUGUUAGCGGCGGACGGGUGAGUAACACGUGGAUAACCUACCUAUAAGACUGGGAUAACUUCGGGAAACCGGAGCUAAUACCGGAUAAUAUUUUGAACCGCAUGGUUCAAAAGUGAAAGACGGUCUUGCUGUCACUUAUAGAUGGAUCCGCGCUGCAUUAGCUAGUUGGUAAGGUAACGGCUUACCAAGGCAACGAUGCAUAGCCGACCUGAGAGGGUGAUCGGCCACACUGGAACUGAGACACGGUCCAGACUCCUACGGGAGGCAGCAGUAGGGAAUCUUCCGAAAUGGGCGAAAGCCUGACGGAGCAACGCCGCGUGAGUGAUGAAGGUCUUCGGAUCGUAAAACUCUGUUAUUAGGGAGGAACAUAUGUGUAAGUAACUGUGCACAUCUUGACGGUACCUAAUCAGAAAGCCACGGCUAACUACGUG
rnacentral:rRNA from 1 species